rnacentral:rRNA from 1 species
UAGAGUUUGAUCCUGGCUCAGAACGAACGCUGGCGGCAGGCUUAACACAUGCAAGUCGAACGCCCCGCAAGGGGAGUGGCAGACGGGUGAGUAACGCGUGGGAACAUACCCUUUCCUGCGGAAUAGCUCCGGGAAACUGGAAUUAAUACCGCAUACGCCCUACGGGGGAAAGAUUUAUCGGGGAAGGAUUGGCCCGCGUUGGAUUAGCUAGUUGGUGGGGUAAAGGCCUACCAAGGCGACGAUCCAUAGCUGGUCUGAGAGGAUGAUCAGCCACAUUGGGACUGAGACACGGCCCAAACUCCUACGGGAGGCAGCAGUGGGGAAUAUUGGACAAUGGGCGCAAGCCUGAUCCAGCCAUGCCGCGUAAGUGAUGAAGGCCUUAGGGUUGUAAAGCUCUUUCACCGAUGAAGAUAAUGACGGUAGUCGAGAAGAAGCCCCGAU